UGGGGAAUAUUGCACAAUGGGCGCAAGCCUGAUGCAGCCAUGCCGCGUGUAUGAAGAAGGCCUUCGGGUUGUAAAGUACUUUCAGCGAGGAGGAAGGCGUUGUGGUUAAUAACCGCAACGAUUGACGUUACUCGCAGAAGAAGCACCGGCUAACUCCGUGCCAGCAGCCGCGGUAAUACGGAGGGUGCAAGCGUUAAUCGGAAUUACUGGGCGUAAAGCGCACGCAGGCGGUCUGUCAAGUCGGAUGUGAAAUCCCCGGGCUCAACCUGGGAACUGCAUCCGAAACUGGCAGGCUAGAGUCUUGUAGAGGGGGGUAGAAUUCCAGGUGUAGCGGUGAAAUGCGUAGAGAUCUGGAGGAAUACCGGUGGCGAAGGCGGCCCCCUGGACAAGGACUGACGCUCAGGUGCGAAAGCGUGGGGAGCAAACA
rnacentral:rRNA from 1 species